AUUGAACGCUGGCGGCAGGCUUAACACAUGCAAGUCGAGCGGAGAUGAGGUGCUUGCACCUUAUCUUAGCGGCGGACGGGUGAGUAAUGCUUAGGAAUCUGCCUAUUAGUGGGGGACAACAUUCCGAAAGGAAUGCUAAUACCGCAUACGCCCUACGGGGGAAAGCAGGGGAUCUUCGGACCUUGCGCUAAUAGAUGAGCCUAAGUCGGAUUAGCUAGUUGGUGGGGUAAAGGCCUACCAAGGCGACGAUCUGUAGCGGGUCUGAGAGGAUGAGCCGCCACAGUGGGACAGAGACACGGCCCAGACUCCUACGGGAGGCAGCAGUGGGGAAUAUUGGACAAUGUGAGGGAGCCUGAUCCAGCCAUGCCGCGUGUGUGAAGAAGGCCUUUUGGUUGUAAAGCACUUUAAGCGAGGAGGAGGCUACCUGGAUUAAUACUCUAGGAUAGUGGACGUUACUCGCAGAAUAAGCACCGGCUAACUCUGUGCCAGCCGCCGCAGUAAAAC
rnacentral:rRNA from 1 species